AAGAUGCUAGUAAAACAAUUACCUUGUCUUGUCAAGGCAAAGUUGCAGGUUAAAAUCCUGUGUAUCCUA
rnacentral:tRNA from 1 species